GAUGAACGCUGGCGGCGUGCCUAAUACAUGCAAGUCGAGCGAACGGACGAGAAGCUUGCUUCUCUGAUGUUAGCGGCGGACGGGUGAGUAACACGUGGAUAACCUACAUAUAAGACUGGGAUAACUUCGGGAAACCGGAGCUAAUACCGGAUAAUAUUUUGAACCGCAUGGUUCAAAAGUGAAAGACGGUCUUGCUGUCACUUAUAGAUGGAUCCGCGCUGCAUUAGCUAGUUGGUAAGGUAACGGCUUACCAAGGCAACGAUGCAUAGCCGACCUGAGAGGGUGAUCGGUCACACUGGAACUGAGACACGGUCCAGACUCCUACGGGAGGCAGCAGUAGGGAAUCUUCCGCAAUGGGCGAAAGCCUGACGGAGCAACGCCGCGUGAGUGAUGAAGGUCUUCGGAUCGUAAAACUCUGUUAUUAGGGAAGAACAUAUGUGUAAGUAACUGUGCACAUCUUGACGGUACCUAAUCAGAAAGCCACGGCUAACUACGUG
rnacentral:rRNA from 1 species